UGGAAUAACACCCUUCAGCUCCUAGCCCGCUGACUCUUGGGGGCACCAAUUUAGAACUUGGGGGGGCCAAGCAGGGGACCUUUCAAAUGAGAGAAAGUGUGUGUGUGGCGAGAGGAGUGAAGACAGAGAGCAGGCUGUGGUUUAGGUUAGGAGCAGCCCUGGGGUGAAGGUAGGUGUGGUCAAAUAAAAAGAAAUAUUUGGGUUCUGUCGCUGGCUCCUGGCGCAGAGCUCCUAAGCACUUGGAAUGUGCUGUCUUUGGUCUGCCAGCGAGGUGACUCACGGGGUGGGGCCCCGAUAGCUUGGGGCUGGGGGGCUAGGGAAGGGCUUUCAGUACCCACCUCACCUCCUUGGAGGGCGAGAGCGAGUUGAGUCACCACAGCUAAUGAUCUAAUCAAUCAUACCUAAAAGGAGACCCUCCGAAACCCCCAAAGGAUGGAUUCGGGGAGUUCUGGGUUGGUGAUGACGCGGGGGGGUACCAGAGCUGGCAGUGUCUCUCUCUGGAGGCACUGCACCUCCCCCACCUUGCCCUGAGGCUCUCUUCCACUGGCUGUUCCUCUGUCAUAAACUGGUGAUCACUGGAAGCAGAGCGCUUUCCCGAGUUCUGUGAGUCAUUCCAGCAAAUUACCAAAUCUGAGUGGGGGUAGCGAAAACUCCCCAGUUAGCAGUCAGCCAGAGAGAUGGAAGUAGGAGCGCAGGAGUGGCCUGGGCAUCCUGUUCACAGCUGGUGUCUGGAAUUGGGUCACUCUCCUGGGAGUCAGCCCUUGACCUUGGCAGGGGUGGGGGGGUUUUCUGCUAGCCUCCGGAGGUUAGCUAGCGUGAGAACUGCAUCGCUGGACACCCCGUUGGUGGCAGAGAAUUGGUGUCGCAGAGAAAUCACACGUGCAGUUGUCCAGGGUCAGUGCUGCCCCAGCCACUGACUCGGUCCAGCGGUCAAGGCGACAGCCUUCCUGUACCUGUUGUAGAGCGAGGGUGCUGGACCUGAGCGGGAACAUGCCCACAAGGCCAGGGAGUCUCAUUCUACCCAGCGGAGGAGCAAGCGCUCAGAGGUGUAGCUGAACUCUUUGGGGGAGGAGCUUAGGACUGCCCUGGAAAAGGCCUAGAGUGUUCUGGGAACCUUGCCAAGCCCUGUUCAUCAUCCAUCCUAAGAGACAGCCAUUGUUAAACUCAUUUUGUAACCGAGGACGCUAAGGCUCAGAGAGGUUACACGACCUGCCUGAUGUCACCCAGCCCGUGAGUGGCGCGGCCAAGGAUUUCUCAAGUCCUCCUGACACCGCCGGCUGGUUAGGGAUUUGGGGAAACUACAUUUUGCCCUGAGGAGAAUUUUCUUUGGCAGGGCAGCUUUUGUGGUUGUGUUAUUGUUGUGUGGAGUCUGUGUGUGUGUGAGAGAGAGUGAGAGAGAGAGAAAGAGAGAGAGGGAAUGAGAACUCUCAGUUUCCAGUAGCUGGGUACAGGUGCAAGCAGCUGUUAGUGAUGUGCACAUGGCGGGACCUAAAGCGUGCAAGAUUUUCUAGAUUUUCAUGAACAGUGAUGAUGAGGCAACAACCAUUCUGUGCUUGCUAAAUGGCCUUCCUGCCCAUGACCCCGGGGAAGACUUGUCUGUCCCAGUCUUGUACUGUGUAAGGCACACAUCCAUGUGCCACCCUCCUCUUUCCUUCUGCUUGGCAAGGCCUGCGAAUGCUUUCCUCUUCCUUUAUUUCUUUAUUUAUUUAUGGCAAAUUUAGCUGGGAGAAAUUUGUGGACCCCAUUCCCUUCCAGACAGGACACAGACUCCUGGGAGAGAAGACUUGAAACCACAAAAAUGGAAUGGCUCCUCUGCCUAGGACCUAACAGUACUCAAAGACAUUGAGCCUGCCGAGGAAUGCCGGUUUCCAUCAGCCUCAUCUCACUCGGAUAGCAACAUGGGACUGACUGUAUUAUCACCAGCAGCAACACUGCAGUGGUACUGUCCGGUCCCUGAACACCAGUGUUUUCCUGAUUGCCAACUCAUUCGCUUCUGCAGGAACUCUGUGCCGCACUCUGAGCGUGAGCUUGCUUGCAACCUCACCUGUUCUGGAAGGAGGCCACAUUUGGCUGCCACAGCUGUGAUGCAAGCUUCUGUCACCAGGGUCCCCUGUGGGAAGCCAAAUCCACGGAAGGCCGUAUUGGAAGUCAAGGACAGAGUUGAACUGCUUGCAGAAUUUGUUAACAGCUUGGAGAAAGAUGCUUCAUAAAGACUCAUGCAGAGGGGCGGCACUGUGGCGCAGCAGGUAAAGCUGCCGCCUGCAGUGCCGGCACCCCAUAUGGGUGCUGGUUCAAGUCCUGGCUGCUCCACUUCCG